GACGAACGCUGGCGGCGUGCUUAACACAUGCAAGUCGAACGAAGAGCGAUGGAAGCUUGCUUCUAUCAAUCUUAGUGGCGAACGGGUGAGUAACGCGUAAUCAACCUCCCCUUCAGAGGGGGACAACAGUUGGAAACGACUGCUAAUACCGCAUACGAUCUAAUCUCGGCAUCGAGGAUAGAUGAAAGGUGGCCUCUACAUGUAAGCUAUCACUGAAGGAGGGGAUUGCGUCUGAUUAGCUAGCUGGGGGGGUAACGGCCCACCAAGGCGAUGAUCAGUAGGCGGUCUGGGGGGAUGGACGGCCAACAUGGGACUGGGACACGGCCCAGGACUCUACGGGAGGCAGCAGUGGGGAAUCUUCCGCAAUGGAGGGAAGUCUGGCGGAGGAACGCCGCGUGGGUGAUGACGGCCUUCGGGUUGUAAAGCUCUGUUAAUCGGGACGAAAGGCCUUCUUGCGAAUAGUGAGAAGGAUUGACGGUACCGGAACAGAAAGCCACGGCUAACUACGUG
rnacentral:rRNA from 1 species